GAUGAACGCUGGCGGCGUGCCUAAUACAUGCAAGUCGAGCGAACAGACGAGGAGCUUGCUCCUCUGACGUUAGCGGCGGACGGGUGAGUAACACGUGGAUAACCUACCUAUAAGACUGGGAUAACUUCGGGAAACCGGAGCUAAUACCGGAUAAUAUAUUGAACCGCAUGGUUCAAUAGUGAAAGACGGUUUUGCUGUCACUUAUAGAUGGAUCCGCGCCGCAUUAGCUAGUUGGUAAGGUAACGGCUUACCAAGGCAACGAUGCGUAGCCGACCUGAGAGGGUGAUCGGCCACACGGGAAGUGAGACACGGUCCAGACUCCGACGGGAGGCAGCAGUAGGGAAUCUUCCGCAAUGGGCGAAAGCCUGACGGAGCAACGCCGCGUGAGUGAUGAAGGUCUUCGGAUCGUAAAGCUCUGUUAUUAGGGAAGAACAAAUGUGUAAGUAACUAUGCACGUCUUGACGGUACCUAAUCAGAAAGCCACGGCUAACUACGUG
rnacentral:rRNA from 1 species